UUUUUAAAAAUUGAUAAUCCUGUAGCACAAGAUUUAGCAAAUCGUUUGUCAAAGCUAUAUGCAACAAUAAAGACAAAAUUAAAAGAAGCUCAAGAAUAAUAAAAGACCAAUAUGGAUGCUUAUCAUAAAGAACAACCAUAAUUUAAUGUAGGUGACAAGGUAUGAUAACUUUGUCACAAUAUCAAGACUACUUGUUCUUAUGAUAAGUUGGACUAUUGUAGAUUGAGACCUUUUCCUAUUUGUAAACAAAUAAAUCCUAUUUCUUAUCA
rnacentral:lncRNA from 1 species